GCCAGGCAUGGUGGCGUGCGCCUGUAGUCCAGCUACUCGGGAGGCUGAGGUGGGAGGAUCGCUCGAGCCCCGGAGUUCCGGGCUGUAGGGCAGUGCGCUAUGUCAGUCAGGUAUACGCACUAAGUUUGGCAUCAAUCUGGUGACCUCCCAGGUUGCCUGAAGAGGGGUGAACCAGCCCAGGUCAGAAACAGAGCAGGUUAAAACUCCAGUGCUGAUCAAAAUCUCCCCUGCUUUCAAAAUUUCCAUUUGCCAAGAAGAACUCCUACA
rnacentral:sRNA from 1 species